UACAGAGGGGGCAAGCGUUAUUCGGAAUUAUUGGGCGUAAAGGGCGCGUAGGCGGCCUGGCAAGUGGAAGGUGAAAUCCCUCGGCUUAACCGAGGAACUGCCCUCCAAACUGCUUGGCUUGAGUCCGGGAGAGGUGAGUGGAAUUCCCAGUGUAGCGGUGAAAUGCGUAGAUAUUGGGAAGAACACCGGUGGCGAAGGCGGCGACCUGGUCCGAGACUGACGCUGAGGCGCGAAAGCGUGGGGAGCAAACAGG
rnacentral:rRNA from 1 species